GUAAGGAAUAUUGGGCAAUGGGCGCAAGCCUGACCCAGCCAUGCCGCGUGAAGGAUGACGGCCCUAUGGGUUGUAAACUUCUUUUGUACGGGAAAAAACCACCGGUCGUGACCGGUGCUGAUGGUACCGUAAGAAUAAGCAUCGGCUAACUCCGUGCCAGCAGCCGCGGUAAUACGGAGGAUGCAAGCGUUAUCCGGAUUCAUUGGGUUUAAAGGGUGCGCAGGCGGAAUAAUAAGUCAGUGGUGAAAUCCUACUGCUCAACUGUAGAACUGCCAUUGAUACUGUUAUUCUUGAGUACACUUGAAGUUGGCGGAAUGUGUCAUGUAGCGGUGAAAUGCUUAGAUAUGACACAGAACACCGAUCGCGAAGGCAGCUCACUAAAUUGUAACUGACGCUCAUGCACGAAAGCGUGGGGAUCAAACAGGAUUAGAUACCCUAGUAGUCC
rnacentral:rRNA from 1 species